AAUAGAUACCCGGGUAGUCCACGCCGUAAACGAUGUCGACUUGGAGGUUGUGCCCUUGAGGCGUGGCUUCCGGAGCUAACGCGUUAAGUCGACCGCCUGGGGAGUACGGCCGCAAGGUUAAAACUCAAAUGAAUUGACGGGGGCCCGCACAAGCGGUGGAGCAUGUGGUUUAAUUCGAUGCAACGCGAAGAACCUUACCUGGUCUUGACAUCCACAGAACUUUCCAGAGAUGGAUUGGUGCCUUCGGGAACUGUGAGACAGGUGCUGCAUGGCUGUCGUCAGCUCGUGUUGUGAAAUGUUGGGUUAAGUCCCGCAACGAGCGCAACCCUUAUCCUUUGUUGCCAGCGGUCCGGCCGGGAACUCAAAGGAGACUGCCAGUGAUAAACUGGAGGAAGGUGGGGAUGACGUCAAGUCAUCAUGGCCCUUACGACCAGGGCUACACACGUGCUACAAUGGCGCAUACAAAGAGAAGCGACCUCGCGAGAGCAAGCGGACCUCAUAAAGUGCGUCGUAGUCCGGAUUGGAGU
rnacentral:rRNA from 1 species